rnacentral:lncRNA from 1 species
CUGCGCUGUUGUGGAGAGGAAACCAGAAACUAAAGGCACUGGAAUCAGCAAAGACACAUCUAGAGAAAGUGGAGAAGGUAGAGAAUGGAGCUGCAGACUCUACAGGAGGCUCUGAAAGUGGAAAUUCAGGUUCACCAGAAACUGGUUGCCCAAAUGAAGCAAGAUCCGCAGGUAACUAUUUCUUUUUGUAUUGUAUUAUUUACCAUAAAAAAUACAGAGAAUCAGAGUGCAUGGGAAUUUUAGAUAUUUCAUCAUCGUGUUCUUCCAUGCUAACACAGUUUUUAAAAGAAAGCUAUUACAAGCAAGUCUUUAAGCAAUGACUGGAUUGUUCUUUUAAAAGAAAAACAAAAAAUCCCUGCAGAUAAAUCAACUAAACAAAAAAAUCUCACCAACACUCUUGGAGCCUUUUGUCUCAUUUUUAGAAGUUUAAAUCAAGGGGCUCUUGCAGGCUGUGGUACAAGUGUUAAAUAAGUUUCUGGUUCUUCUGGAAGUUUUUCUUUACAAAAACUGCCGCUCACUUUUUUAUUGUCUGAAUUAUAAAAGGAGAGGAUCCUCCUUCCAAUAAAUUUUGUCCAAAUGAAGAAUAGAAUAUUCGG